rnacentral:rRNA from 1 species
UGGUGGGGUGACUUGUCUGCUUAAUUGCGAUAACGAUCGAGACCUUAACCUGCUAAAUAGCCCGCAUUGCUCCGGCAGUGCGCUGGCUUCUUAGAGGGACUUUCGGCUCAAGCCGAAGGAAGUUUGAGGCAAUAACA